UAAAAAUAGGUUAUUUAUUUAAUUUUCUCGAAUUCAGAAGAGCUAUUUAUUUAUAUAUUUUAUUGUUGAAUAAAUAUUUUUAAUAAGUAAAUAGUAAUGAAACGUUAUUCGUUUCUGACGAUAUCUAGUUUUUUAAGAAACGAAUUUAAUUCGGUCAGUUUAAUUAACUUUCUUUAUGAAUAGAAAUUUAAUUUUUCUGGUAAAUUCUUAAGGGGACGAGCUUUUAGGAAUAUUAUUAUAAAUAAGGUUUAUUUUUCGUGGUUAAUAGGAUUAGAAGCUUUCAUUUUUAAAAGGACGUUAUAGUUUGCGUUUGAUUUUUGUAUUAUUUAUAUUUUAUUUUAAUUUUUUUAUUAAAAUUUAUUUUUUAAUUUAAUUUGAUUAGUAAUAAUGAUUUAAUUAGUAUAAUUUAUUGUAUUUAUACAAGUAAAGUUUAAGGUUAAGCUAAGGAAUUCGGCAAAAGAUUUUUCACCUGUUUAUUAAAAACAUGGCCUUUUGAUAAUAAUUUAAGGUCUAGCCUGCCCACUGAGGGGUUAAAGGGCCGCGGUAACCU
rnacentral:rRNA from 1 species